UUCCACGAAGCGACCCCUGUUCUUAUCUCCCUUGUCUUUCAGGACGGCACCUUUACGUGGGUGAACAGGUCGAACGUGCUCUUCAGCAUUCUCGACGACGACGCCUGGGCGAGGGAUCACAUAGCACCCAAAACGCGUACGAGAUUCGCCGUCAUCCCCGCGCGCGCGCGCACUUCACCCCUCCGUCUCUGACCGCAUUCCAAGUGGUUUACUUUAAGGGCGUCCCGAUGACUCCCGAAUCGGAAGAAGAGGAGCAAGUUAACGAACAAAUCAAAGAUGAAGACAAGAAGUGGACUGACUUGGGCUUCAACGGAUUUGUCGCUUCCUUUCGGGCUGAGAAAGAAGGCCAACUGCGAUAAUCCCGCGGUAAUCUCCACAUUUUUCUGUACAACCCGCGUAGCCGAAUUUUUUUAUGCUAAAUAACGCGUCAUAUUUUGCGCUCAUGUUUUAGUGGCUUCAUUCGUCGCCUUAUUUACGCUAUGUCUAGAGAAGAACUGAGCGAGGAGGAGUGGCGUCUCAAACUUACCCCAGAACAAUUUCGCGUCCUUCGUCAGAAAGGCACCGAGGUGCCGGGCUCUGGAACCUACUAUCGCUUCUCUGAAGAAGGCGUCUACCAUUGUCGGGGUUGCGACUCGCCCCUAUUUACGAGCGACACGAAAUUCGAUUCAGGAUCUGGGUGGCCCGCCUUUUAUGACGCCAUUGAUGGCGCACUGAUAGAAGAGGUCGAUGAGAGCCAUGGCAUGCGCAGAAUAGAAGUCAAGUGCGCUAAAUGUGGGGGCCAUCUCGGGCAUUUGUUCAAAGGAGAGCCAUACGACAUACCAAAGAGGCAAAGGUAUUGCAUCAAUUCUGUUUGUUUGAACUUCAAGAAAUAAAAUCGGUACUUUCGAGGGCGCUAGCGUAAGCGGGGUCGAGUUCUCUGUUGGUCUGGACC